AUUGAACGCUGGCGGCAGGCCUAACACAUGCAAGUCGAACGAGUGGCGGACGGGUGAGUAAUGUAUGGGAAACUGCCUGAUGGAGGGGGAUAACUACUGGAAACGGUAGCUAAUACCGCCUACCAUCGGAUGUGCCCAGAUGGGAUUAGCUAGUAGGUGGGGUAAAGGCUCACCUGGGCGACGAUCCCUAGCUGGUCUGAGAGGAUGACCACCCACACGGGAAUUGAGCCCCGGUCCAGACUCCUCCGGGAGGCAGCAGUGGGGAAUAUUGCACAAUGGGCGCAAGCCUAAUGCAGCCAUGCCGCGUGUAUGAAGAGGGCCUUCGUGUUUUAAAGUACUUUCAGCGGGGAGGCGUUACCCGCAGAAGAAGCACCGGCUAACUCCGUGCCAGCCGCCGCGGUAAUUC
rnacentral:rRNA from 1 species